UUUCUUCGGAAAUGGAUUAGCGGCGAACGGGUGAGGAACACGUGAAGAAUCUGCCCUCCACUUUGGGAUAACACCGGGAAACCGGUGCUAAUACCGAAUAUUGAAACAUAAGUGGCAUCACUGAGUUUUGAAAGAAUUUCGGUGGAGGAUGACUUCGCGGCCUAUCAGCUAGUUGGUGAGGUAAUGGCUCACCAAGGCAACGACGGGUAGCCGGCCUGAGAGGGCGACCGGCCACACUGGGACUGAGACACGGCCCAGACUCCUACGGGAGGCAGCAGUGGGGAAUAUUGGGCAAUGGAGGAAACUCUGACCCAGCGACGCCGCGUGCGGGAUGAAGGCCUUCGGGUUGUAAACCGCUUUCAGUAGGGAAGAAGCGAAAGUGACGGUACCUACAAAAGAAGCACCGGCUAACUAUGUGCCAGCAGCCGCGGUAAUACAUAGGGUGCAAGCGUUGUCCGGAAUUAUUGGGCGUAAAGAGCUCGUAGGUCGUUUGUUACGUCGGAUGUGAAAACCUGAGGCUCAACCUCAGGCCUGCAUUCGAUACGGGCAAACUAGAGUUUGGUAGGGGAGACUGGAAUUCCUGGUGUAGCGGUGGAAUGCGCAGAUAUCAGGAGGAACACCAAUGGCGAAGGCAGGUCUCUGGGCCAAUACUGACACUGAGGAGCGAAAGUCUGGGGAGCGAACAGGAUUAGAUACCCUGGUAGUCCAGACCGUAAACGGUGGGCACUAGUUGUGGG
rnacentral:rRNA from 1 species